CCAGGAGACAGUGCUGCAUGGCUGUCGUCAGCUCGUGUCGUGAGAUGUUGGGUUAAGUCCCGCAACGAGCGCAACCCUUAUCUUUAAUUGCCAGCAUUCAGUUGGGCACUUUAAAGAGACUGCCGGUGUUAAACCGGAGGAAGGUGGGGAUGACGUCAAGUCCUCAUGGCCUUUAUGCUUAGGGCUACACACGUGCUACAAUGGGUGGUACAAAGAGAAGCCAACUCGCGAGAGCGCGCCAAUCUCAAAAAGCCAUCCUCAGUUCGGAUUGGAGUCUGCAACUCGACUCCAUGAAGUUGGAAUCGCUAGUAAUCGCGGAUCAGCAUGCCGCGGUGGAUACGUUCCCGGGCCUU
rnacentral:rRNA from 1 species